rnacentral:rRNA from 1 species
UACGUAGGGUGCAAGCGUUAAUCGGAAUUACUGGGCGUAAAGCGUGCGCAGGCGGUUUUGUAAGUCUGACGUGAAAUCCCCGGGCUCAACCUGGGAAUUGCGUUGGAGACUGCAAGGCUGGAGUCUGGCAGAGGAUGGUGGAAUUCCCGGUGUAGCGGUGAAAUGCGUAGAGAUCGGGAGGAACAUCAGUGGCGAAGGCGGCCAUCUGGGACAACACUGACGCUGAAGCACGAAAGCGUGGGGAGCAAACAGG